rnacentral:rRNA from 1 species
UACGUAGGGUGCAAGCGUUGUUCGGAAUCAUUGGGCGUAAAGCGCGUGUAGGUGGCUAGUUAAGUCGGGUGUGAAACCCCAGGGCUCAACCCUGGGCCGGCAUCCGCGACUGCCGGGCUGGAGUGCGGGAGGGGAGAGCGGAAUUCCUGGUGUAGCGGUGAAAUGCGUAGAUAUCAGGAGGAACACCGGUGGCGAAGGCGGCUCUCUGGACCGUAACUGACGCUGAGACGCGAAAGCUAGGGGAGCAAACAGG